rnacentral:tRNA from 1 species
CGAGGUGUAGCGCAGUUGGUAGCGUGCUUGCUUCGGGAGCAAGAAGUCGCAGGUUCAAGUCCUGUCACCUCGACCA